rnacentral:sRNA from 1 species
GCCAGGUGCGGUGGCGCACACCUGUAAUCCCAGGGGCUCGGGAGGCUGAGGCAGGAGGAUCACAAGUUCAAAGCCAGCCUCAG